GCCAGACUCCUACGGGAGGCAGCAGUGGGGAAUAUUGCACAAUGGGGGAAACCCUGAUGCAGCGACGCCGCGUGAGCGAUGAAGUAUUUCGGUAUGUAAAGCUCUAUCAGCAGGGAAGAAGAUGACGGUACCUGACUAAGAAGCCCCGGCUAACUACGUGCCAGCAGCCGCGGUAAUACGUAGGGAGCAAGCGUUAUCCGGAUUUAUUGGGUGUAAAGGGUGCGUAGACGGGAAUUUAAGUUAGUUGUGAAAUCCCUCGGCUUAACUGAGGAACUGCAACUAAAACUGAAUUUCUUGAGUGCGGGAGAGGAAAGUGGAAUUCCUAGUGUAGCGGUGAAAUGCGUAGAUAUUAGGAGGAACACCAGUGGCGAAGGCGACUUUCUGGACCGUAACUGACGUUGAGGCACGAAAGUGUGGGGAGCAAACAGGAUUAGAUACCCCCGUAC
rnacentral:rRNA from 1 species